rnacentral:rRNA from 1 species
UGAACGCUGGCGGCAGGCCUAACACAUGCAAGUCGAGCGGAUGAAGGGAGCUUGCUCCUGGAUUCAGCGGCGGACGGGUGAGUAAUGCCUAGGAAUCUGCCUGGUAGUGGGGGAUAACGUCCGGAAACGGGCGCUAAUACCGCAUACGUCCUGAGGGAGAAAGUGGGGGAUCUUCGGACCUCACGCUAUCAGAUGAGCCUAGGUCGGAUUAGCUAGUUGGUGGGGUAAAGGCCUACCAAGGCGACGAUCCGUAACUGGUCUGAGGGGAUGAUCAGUCACACUGGAACUGAGACACGGUCCAGACUCCUACGGGAGGCAGCAGUGGGGAAUAUUGGACAAUGGGCGAAAGUCUGAUCCAGCCAUGCCGCGUGUGUGAAGAAGGUCUUCGGAUUGUAAAGCACUUUAAGUUGGGAGGAAGGGCAGUAAGUUAAUACCUUGCUGUUUUGACGUUACCAACAGAAUAAGCACCGGCUAACUUCGUG